rnacentral:tRNA from 1 species
GUGCCCGUAGCUCAGCCGGUAGAGCACGUGACUUUUAAUCAUGGGGCCGUGGGUUCGAGUCCCACCGGGCACACCA